AGGGCAGCCAAGUCGUGAGGCGGAGCUAAUCCCUUAAAGCCAUUCUCAGUUCGGAUUGUAGGCUGAAACUCGCCUACAUGAAGCUGGAGUUACUAGUAAUCGCGGAUCAGCAUGCCGCGGUGAAUACGUUCCCGGGCCUUGUACACACCGCCCGUCACACCAUGGGAGCCGGUAAUACCCGAAGUCAGUAGUCCAACCUCGUGAGGACGCUGCCGAAGGUAGGAUUGGCGACUGGGGUGAAGUCGUAACAAGGUACC
rnacentral:rRNA from 1 species